rnacentral:rRNA from 1 species
UACAGAGGGGGCAAGCGUUGUUCGGAAUUACUGGGCGUAAAGGGCGCGUAGGCGGCCUGUUAAGUCGAAUGUGAAAUCCCCGGGCUCAACCCGGGAACUGCGUCCGAUACUGGCAGGCUUGAAUUCGGGAGAGGGAUGCGGAAUUCCAGGUGUAGCGGUGAAAUGCGUAGAUAUCUGGAGGAACACCGGUGGCGAAGGCGGCAUCCUGGACCGGCAUUGACGCUGAGGCGCGAAAGCCAGGGGAGCAAACGGG